UGGUUGUGGACGACCCGAAACCCAUGGCUGUUACACCGACCAGGAACAACUAGUAAUCACAAGGCCACGCAAGGUCCGCCAAGAACAGGCAACCAGACCGAGUAUGCCUGUGUUGGUGGGAACGUACGAACUAUCAUGUCUGGUCAUCGAGACAAACUACUUCACCUCACCAAAACAGCCAGGACAAAAUGUGGAUGGCGAUUAAGAACAGAAUUGACAGUUGACUCGAACAGCAGAAUAGAACUGAAAAUGAAUUUCCCAUCGGAAAUUAAAACAAGCUAUGACGUGUGUCAUGACAGGUAACUGGAAGUAUUUGAUGGUACGUAACAAAUGUGACAUUGCCGAUUCUUUCAUCAUACUAGUCAAAGGUUAUUAAG